rnacentral:rRNA from 1 species
GACGUAGGGCGCGAGCGUUGUCCGGAUUUAUUGGGCGUAAAGAGCUCGUAGGCGGUUUGUUGCGUCGGCUGUGAAAUCCCGAGGCUCAACCUCGGGUCUGCAGUCGAUACGAGCAAACUAGAGUGUUGCAGGGGAGACUGGAAUUCCUGGUGUAGCGGUGAAAUGCGCAGAUAUCAGGAAGAACACCCGUGGCGAAGGCGGCUUUCUGGGACGGUACUGACGCUGAGACGCGAAAGCGUGGGGAGCGAACAGG